GUCCAGACUGACAACGUCACAACCAACUUGGUGGACCGCAUAUUCAAAGGCUCUCUGAAAUCUCAAGUGGUUUGUCAGAACUGUCAUUAUACUUCUGACAGAUAUGAGGAAUUCAUCGACAUCCCUCUGGAGAUCAAUUCCUCAGAUAACAUCACAAAAUCAUUGAAAGAUUUAGUGAGAGCGGAAACACUGGAAGGAGA